GGGGCAGGGGCAGGAACUGGUGGAAGAGCUGACAGCAAGGGGAGUGGCCAAACGGAGGCGGGGCCUGGAAGGGGGCGUGGCUUGCGGGCCUCUGGGCCGCCCGGCCUCUUUAGGUGCCGCAGCGGAAGGCCUGGAGCAGAGGCUGCUUCUCCGCCCAAGCACUCCCUGGCGAGCCCAGGCCCUCCCGAGGAGCAGAGAAUGGAAGGAAACCAAGUUUUGUCCUGCGAGUCCUCGCCCUCUGCAGGAAGAGGAUGUGGGAUCCCUGCAUCACUCAAGGGAUCUCUCGAGAUAGUCAUGGGGCAGCAGAAGCAGAAACACUGCAAACUCUGAUCACCAUGUGAGCCACGCCUGACCCCAUGUGGGUGAAACCUGAUCCUACAGUGGUUCCCAUGUGACUGAGGCCUGAUUCCAUGUGAGUGAAGCCUGAUCAUCAUGUGAGUGAAGCCUGAUCAUCAUGUGAGUGAAGCCUGAUUCCAUGUGAGUGAAACUUGAUCCCAUGUGAUUGACGGCUGACUCCAUGUGAGUGAAGCCUGAUCAUCAUGUGAGUGAAGCCUGAUCAUCAUGUGAGUGAAGCCUGAUUCCAUGUGAGUGAAACCUGAUCCCAUGUGAUUGACGGCUGACUCCAUGUGAGUGAAGCCUGAUCAUCAUGUGAAUGAAGGCUGAUCCCAUGUGAAUGAAGGCUGAUCCCACAUGAUGAAGCCUGAUUACCAUGUGAAUGAAGACUGGUUCCAUGUGGGUGAAGCCUGGUUCCAUGUGAGUGAAGCCUGAUCCCAUAUGAGUGAAGCCUGAUUACCAUGUGAAUGAAGCCUGAUUCCAUGUGUGUGAAGCCUGGUUCCAUGUGGGUGAAGCCUGAUCCCAUGUGAGUGAAGCCUGCUUCUCUGUGAAUGAGACCUUAUCACCAUGUAAGCUGAGCCUGCCUCCUGUGCACUGAGGGCAGGUCCUCACACCUGGCAGCUGGGAGAGCAUGCCAAGGACUGGGCUCCAGCUUGCAUAUUGCAAGACAAAGGGACCACACCCAAGCCCAGUGAGAACAGGCAGUUCCAUUCUGAAUAGACAGAAGGGACAUGCAGCUUGCGUUGGCAACCUUCUGCCUCCUGCAUUUCUUAAAGUGGAGUCGAUUAAUGGCUUUCCAGAAGCAAGGGAAAGAUUUCUACUGUGCUCAUCAUGAAGAAGUGUAAAUUGUUACAAUCUUUUCAGAGGGUGAUUUUGCAGAAUUAUCAGUACAUAAAAGAUGGUAAUUGCAAUGUUGUUUGUGGCAGUGAAAAAGUGGAAAUGGUCUAAAUGCCAUCAACAGAGGACUGGUUAAAAAACUGGAAGUACCUUUGUACUAUGGAAUAAUAUGCAUUAACUAAAGGUGAGGAAGUAAAUACGUAUGCAUAGACAUGGAGAGGUGACCACAUUAUCACAUUAUAUUAAAUGAAAAAAGCAGGUUUCAGAAGAAUGCAUCAGUAUCAGCUCAUAUGUAUAAAAAAGAGUUAAAUGCAUGUAAUGUAAAUGUCUGAGUAAUGCAUGGAACAGACCCAAAAGGAUGCAAACCAAAUAAAUGGUAGUUAAUUCUAGAAAGAGGGAUUGAUGGGAGAUGGGAGAGAGAGGAAAGGAAACAGGGAAUUUCACUUUCUAUGUAAUAGGUUCCUGUACUAUUUGCUUGUCAUGUUUUGUGUUAUAAUAAGCAUGUACUACACCUUGCUUUUAAAAGAUGUAAAAAAGAAUCUCA
rnacentral:lncRNA from 1 species